UACGGGGGGGGCAAGCGUUGUUCGGAAUUACUGGGCGUAAAGGGUUCGUAGGUGGCUUGCUUAGUCAGACGUGAAAUCCCUCAGCUCAACUCCAGAACUGCCUUUGAUACUGAGGAUCUCGAGUCCGGGAGAGGUGAGUGGAACUGCGAGUGUAGAGGUGAAAUUCGUAGAUAUUCGCAAGAACACCAGUGGCGAAGGCGGCUCACUGGCCCGGUACUGACGCUGAGGUGCGAAAGCGUGGGGAGCAAACAGG
rnacentral:rRNA from 1 species